rnacentral:rRNA from 1 species
CCUACGGGAGGCAGCAGUGGGGAAUAUUGGACAAUGGGGGGAACCCUGAUCCAGCCAUGCCGCGUGUGUGAAGAAGGCCCUCGGGUUGUAAAGCACUUUCAGUGAGGAAGAACGCCUGGUGGUUAAUACCCAUCAGGAAAGACAUCACUCACAGAAGAAGCACCGGCUAACUCCGUGCCAGCAGCCGCGGUAAUACGGAGGGUGCGAGCGUUAAUCGGAAUUACUGGGCGUAAAGCGCGCGUAGGUGGCUUGAUAAGCCGGUUGUGAAAGCCCCGGGCUCAACCUGUGAACGGCAUCCGGAACUGUCUAGCUAGAGUGCAGGAGAGGAAGGUAGAAUUCCCGGUGUAGCGGUGAAAUGCGUAGAGAUCGGGAGGAAUACCAGUGGCGAAGGCGGCCUUCUGGACUGACACUGACACUGAGGUGCGAAAGCGUGGGUAGCAAACAGGAUUAGAUACCCCUGUAGUC